rnacentral:rRNA from 1 species
GUGGGGAAUAUUGGACAAUGGGCGAAAGCCUGAUCCAGCCAUGCCGCGUGAGUGAUGAAGGCCUUAGGGUUGUAAAGCUCUUUCAGUAGGGAAGAUAAUGACGGUACCUACAGAAGAAGCCCCGGCUAACUUCGUGCCAGCAGCCGCGGUAAUACGAAGGGGGCUAGCGUUGUUCGGAUUUACUGGGCGUAAAGCGCACGUAGGCGGAUUGGUCAGUUAGAGGUGAAAUCCUGGAGCUCAACUCCAGAACUGCCUUUAAUACUGCCAGUCUAGAGUCCAGAAGAGGUGAGUGGAACUCCUAGAGUAGAGGUGGAAUUCGUAGAUAUUAGGAAGAACACCAGUGGCGAAGGCGGCUCACUGGUCUGGUACUGACGCUGAGGUGCGAAAGCGUGGGGAGCAAACAGGAUUAGAUACCCGUGUAGUCC